CCAAUAGCGUAUAUUAAAGUUGUUGCAGUUAAAAAGCUCGUAGUUGAAUUUCGGGAUCAGUACGUUGGUCAUGCCUUGGUAUGUACUGGUGUAACUGAUUCCUCCCUUCUGACGAACCGUCAUGCCAUUCACUUGGUGUGGCGGGAAAUCAGGACUGUUACUUUGAAAAAAUUAGAGUGUUUAAAGCAGGCUCGCGCUUGAAUACAUUAGCAUGGAAUAAUGAAAUAGGACGUUAAUCCUAUUUUGUUGGUUUCUAGGAUCGACGUAAUGAUUAAUAGGGAUAGUUGGGGGCAUUAGUAUUCAAUUGUCAGAGGUGAAAUUCUUGGAUUUAUUGAAGACUAACUACUGCGAAAGCAUUUGCCAAGGAUGUUUUCAUUAAUCAAGAACGAAAGUUAGGGGAUCGAAGACGAUCAGAUACCGUCGUAGUCUUAACCAUAAACUAUGCCGACUAGGGAUCGGAUGAUGUUAAUUUUUUAAUGACUCAUUCGGCGCCUUACG
rnacentral:misc_RNA from 1 species